UUAGUCUUCUGAUCGUAAAAGAGCAGAAGAAGCCCUUUCUAAAUUUCCCUCAGAAGCAGGAGUUGACAAACUUGCAGCCUGGAAUGAUGAAGAUGAAGUAGGAGCUGGUCCUGAGAGUGUGUGACUGUGAGAGAAAUUGCUAACAUCGCUGCUCAAAUAUGUAUUGAAUCCACUAAUAGACUGUUCCGGCACGGCCAGAAGGGAAGGUGGCUUAUCAAUCUCUACAAUCCCUUCCAGCAUCCGCACCACUUUUUCCAUUCUUGGCCUCAGUGAUGGUUGCUCCUGAAUGCACCAAAAGCUUACUUGAAUUGCCCUCAUCACUUGUUCCAUAUCCACUUCUUGGUGACCAGCUAGCCUUCUGUCAACAAUUCCCCAGACAUUACCUUUCUCAAACUCUUCAUAUGCCCACACUGAAAACUUUUUCAUAUUUGUUUCUGCAGACAUUUCAAAGUUCCUAAAUCCACCCACAAUCUCCAGCAAAACCAUACCAUAACUAUAAAUAUCAGAUUUUGAUGUUAUUGGAAGAUUUGAAAGCCACUCUGGUGCUAAAUAUCCCCUAGUGCCUCUAAUGCUUGCCAAUGACCUAUGCUCCUUGGCAUGGAUCAGCUUUGCAAGACCGAAAUCUGAGACUUUGGCAGUGUAAUUCUCAUCCAAGAGAAUGUUUUCAGGCUUUAUAUCACAGUGAACAAUGCAGUCAUGGCACUCCUCAUGGAGGUAUGUGAUGGCCUUGGCAGUGCCAAGGGCAAUGCUGAAUCUUUGCUCCCAAUUCAACAAUUUCCCCGUUUGAUUAUUUGUGAUGAAAAGGAAUUGAUCAAGAGACCCAUUUUUCAUGAACUCAUAUACCAACAGCCUAUGGCGCCCUUCAGAGCAAAAACCAAUUAGUCUUACCAAAUUCAGAUGGUGCGUGCUGCUUAUAGUGGCAACCUCCAUUCUGAACUGUUUCUCCCCCUGCUCAAUUCCUUCAAGUUGCUUCACUGCAACAACCAUUCCAUUGGCAAGAACUCCUUUGUACACACUCCCAAAUCCUCCAGUUCCAAGCUUCUCCUUGAACCCUUUUGUUGCGCGUUGAAGGUCCUUAUACCAGAACUGGACUGGCGCACCAGAAGCAUACUCAAGAAGAGCAUAUUGGGCAGAUAGUCCUCCAAAUCUGGGGCUGUUUCUAAAACACCACAACCAUAAACCAGCUUCCAAGCUGAUCAAACCGAAAACGAUAGCUACUCCCUGAACGAUUAAAGACCACCCAUGUACCCUCCAACCACUGCUCUUGCCAGACAACUGCGAAGGUAAUGGGUUUGGAAGUACUGGGGAGCAAACUUUGAUAUGUGAAGUUGAAGGAAGUGCAGGACUCGAAUAACCAGUAAUAUAACCAGGUUUUUUUAAAUAACACUGGCCUGUGCCAUCAGACAACACAGUGGAAGCUUCACAACCACCGGCAUUGCUAAGACAAUUCAAUCUACAUGCUGAUACAGCAAUAAAGAAAACCUCUGACUCCGAACCACCACCAAAUACACUCUGUGGAG
rnacentral:misc_RNA from 1 species